rnacentral:sRNA from 1 species
GUCUAACGUGAAGACAUUUUGCUCCAAGAAUAUCCUAGCCAUCCUUGGCUUCUCCUCUAUCAUAGCUGUGAUAGCUUUGCUUGCUGUGGGGUUGACCCAGAACAAAGCAUUGCCAGAAAACGUUAAGUAUGGGAUUGUGCUGGAUGCGGGUUCUUCUCACACAAGUUUAUACAUCUAUAAGUGGCCAGCAGAAAAGGAGAAUGACACAGGGGUGGUGCAUCAAGUAGAAGAAUGCAGGGUUAAAGGUCCUGGAAUCUCAAAAUUUGUUCAGAAAGUAAAUGAAAUAGGCAUUUACCUGACUGAUUGCAUGGAAAGAGCUAGGGAAGUGAUUCCAAGGUCCCAGCACCAAGAGACACCCGUUUACCUGGGAGCCACGGCAGGCAUGCGGUUGCUCAGGAUGGAAAGUGAAGAGUUGGCAGACAGGGUUCUGGAUGUGGUGGAGAGGAGCCUCAGCAACUACCCCUUUGACUUCCAGGGUGCCAGGAUCAUUACUGGCCAAGAGGAAGGUGCCUAUGGCUGGAUUACUAUCAACUAUCUGCUGGGCAAAUUCAGUCAGGUGAAUAUCUCACAGCAUCCAUGGAGGUGGCUCUCUGGAGGCCAAUGCCAUUGCUAUCUCAGGCAGUACUUGGGUCGCUAGCCAGAAUGAAUGAAUGAAUGAUAGAUGGAUGGAUGGAUGGAUGACUGGAUGAAUGAAUUUACUCUCACAUUUGUAAGGGUCACCAGAGGUAUAAUUCUCUUACAAGACCUUCUACUAUCGGGAGAAUAAGG